GAUGAACGCUGGCGGCGUGCCUAAUACAUGCAAGUCGAGCGAACAGAUAAGGAGCUUGCUCCUUUGACGUUAGCGGCGGACGGGUGAGUAACACGUGGAUAACCUACCUAUAAGACUGGGAUAACUUCGGGAAACCGGAGCUAAUACCGGAUAACAUAUUGAACCGCAUGGUUCAAUAGUGAAAGGCGGCUUUGCUGUCACUUAUAGAUGGAUCCGCGCCGUAUUAGCUAGUUGGUAAGGUAACGGCUUACCAAGGCAACGAUACGUAGCCGACCUGAGAGGGUGAUGGGCCACACGGGAACUAGAGCCCGGUCCAGAACCCCACGGGAGGCAGGAUGAGGAAAUUUUCCGAAAUGGGCGAAAGCCUGACGGGGCAACCCCGGGUGGGGGAUGAAGGUCUUCGGAUCGAAAAACUCUUUUAACAGGAAAAAAAAAAUGGUUAAGUAACGGUCCACAUCUUGACGGUCCCGAAACAAAAAGCCACGGCAAACUACGU
rnacentral:rRNA from 1 species